GGAGUAUCACUCGUCAAAACUGAUUGUAUUUCAGUCAUUUCAUUACAUAAUUGUUCUAUUAUAAAAAUUAAAUCAACAUUCUAAGGAGCAUCCAGACAUGGACGCACCUGGCAUCCCUAAAAUAAGAAAAAUAUAAUAAAAAAACAUGUCAAAACCAUUUUCCCGACACUAAUAACCUAUAAUAUUUGAGCGGAUGGAAAUCGCACAAUAACACAAAAAAGCCCUCAUAUGUAUUUCACCUAUUUUCACAGAGUAAGUUGCUAUUUUCUAAAGAUUUAUUUGGCUUCUUAACGUCAGGUAUACCUAUCGGUCAUAAUUUUUCUGUUAUACAGAAAUAUCAUGAUUGUUCACAUUAACAAGAC
rnacentral:lncRNA from 1 species